UUUCCGGUUGAUCCUGCCGGACCUGACUGCUAUCGGAUUGAUACUAAGCCAUGCUAGUCUUUGUAGUAAUACAAGGCAUACGGCUCAGUAACGCGUAGUCAACCUACCCUAUGGACGGGGAUAAUCUCGGGAAACUGAGCAUAAUACCCGGCAGACCACUUAUCCUGGAAUGGUUAGUGGUUAAAAUGAUUCGUCGCCAUAGGAUGGGACUGCGGCCUAUCAGCUUGUUGGUGAGGUAAUGGCCCACCAAGGCGAUUACAGGUACGGGCUCUGAGAGGAGAGGCCCGGAGAUGGGUACUGAGACAAGGACCCAGGCCCUAUGGGGCGCAGCAGGCGAGAAAACUUUGCAAUGUGCGAAAGCACGACAAGGUUAAUCCGAGUGAUUUCUGCUAAAGGAAUCUUUUGUUAGUUCUAAAAAUACCAGUGAAUAAGGGGUGGGCAAGUUCUGGUGUCAGCCGCCGCGGUAAAACCAGCACCUCAAGUGGUCAGGAGGAUUAUUGGGCCUAAAGCAUCCGUAGCCUGUUCUAUAAGUUUGCGGUUAAAUCUAUACGCUCAACGUAUAGGCUGCCGUAAAUACUGUAGAACUAGGGAGUGGGAGAGGUAGACGGUACUCGAUAGGAAGGGGUAAAAUCCUUUGAUCUAUUGAUGACCACCUGUGGCGAAGGCGGUCUACCAGAACACGUUCGACGGUGAGGGAUGAAAGCUGGGGGAGCAAACCGGAUUAGAUACCCGGGUAGUCCCAGCUGUAAACGAUGCAGACUCGAUGAUGCAAUGGCUAGAGCUAUUGCAGUAUCGCAGGGAAGCUGUUAAGUCUGCCGCCUGGGAAGUACGUACGCAAGUAUGAAACUUAAAGGAAUUGGCGGGGGAGCACCA
rnacentral:rRNA from 1 species